GCCAAUCAUAGGGAAUCCAUCUCUCCUUGUUUUGACUAGCUCUUCUCUCUGCUACAGUCUGGCUGAAUACCCUGCUCUGCAAGAGGUGGGCAAUGACAUCGGCCCAGGCGUCAUGAGUGUUAUAAAACAGAAUUAACUUCAGGCAUGCCAGUACUUUCACUGAAUGAAAAGGAGCACUGGCAAGUUUACAGAAAAGCAUGUGUGUAAAUGUUUUCCUGAAUCAGAAAAUGUUGCACAGAGGCAGAAUUUUUUUUUUACCCUGUUUGUUUCAGUGGGAGAAACAUGUAUGGACAAAAUUCCUUUAUUACAGAUAUUUGGGCAAGCAUGGUAUUUAGCCUAAGAUCUGUUGUCUCUUUUCCUCUCUCCAAUUUUAUUGUCAGCAGAUCCUUUUGCAAACUAGAAAAAAAAAAGUCUGUGUGCAGGUAGGUUUUGAUAACACGCGUGUGCCAGAGGCUGCUUUCACUCACCCACUGUUUGUUUGUUUUUAAUUUAGCAAAGCAGCUACACCUCUAACCAUGCAAAACAAAGAUUAAAAUAAUAUGAAUCAGAGGCACGAGAGGUAUUUACUUAGAUAGGGCAGGGGUUACUGGAGGGGGGAGAUGGCAAGCCAGGGGAGAAUGGCCACCCAGUGUUGGCAGCAGCGUGCCAAUCCAGAUCCUUCUGCAGGCCUCACAGCCCUAAGCGCCUUCUUCCCCAUUGCCUGCGAGGUGCCAGCAUGUGGCGGGCCCCUGCCUGGCUGGCCCUACCACCUCAAUACCAGUGCCACAUGGUUGGGUGGGCAGGGGCCCAGGAUUGCUGGGAUGCACUCCUCCAGCCUUCCUGUCAUUCCCUGGCCUUCCCUGGCCUCCUCAGCCUCCCCUAGCCUUUCGUGUCCUCCCUUAGCCUCCAUGGCCCUCCUCGGCCUCCCCUGGCCUUCCCCAGCAACAGCCAUGGCGGCAGCCAAUGGGGCCGGGCCGGGUCAGGGCGGCGGCGGCGGCGCAGGCCUUUGUGCAGGGUGGCAGGCGCAAGUAUUUGCGGCAGCAAGGACAACAGAAAACGGGAAAAAAAGAAGAAAAAAAAAAACUGUGUACAAAAGUGACUAGCCCUCACAUACACUAAAAUCAUUAAUAAAUACAAAUCUAUACCAGUCUCCA
rnacentral:lncRNA from 1 species